rnacentral:lncRNA from 1 species
GUUACUCCAGCAUUGUGGUGCCACAAAAGGAACCGACCCACAUUCAUUAAAUACCUGCCAAAUCCCAGGAGGAUAUAGAAUUAGAAGUAAAGCCAAUCGACAUUGUGGUAGCUCCUGGAGAUACAGUAAACAUAACCUGCACACUUNGCAGUAAACAUUUUGCGAGCACUGUGGCCUGGUAUAAAGAAGAAUAUGACCACAGCCUACAGCAACUUAACCUGACCUAUUUAUCCCGAAAACCAGGAGAAAGAACUCUACCUGAAGUAAAUUACACAAUUCACAAUGUGACGAGAAGUGCUUCUGGGCUAUAUUUUUGUGUCAUAACAAUUUUAGAAAAGUUAGUAAUGCUAAACUGGACGAGGCUGAUUGUCCAAGGUGAGUAGCCCAGCAGACUGCAAUCCUUUGUUGCUCUUUACUUUCGUGAAUUUGCCUCCUGAUUUCCAGCCUUCUCUGGGCACUGGGAUGGGCUUCACUGGGAGGGAGAGUGAGGCGGAUGCUUCAUGGAGCAAAUGACAAGAGAUGGGGUUGGCCGCUCU